rnacentral:sRNA from 1 species
UAAGAAGCGUUCAGUCUUUAUAAAUUAUGACGUCCGAUACAUCGCAUGUCAGAGGUCACGGCAGCCAAAAGGGGGCACCGGACCAAGAAAAACUUGCCACUCGAAAUCUUCGCCAUAGUAAUGGUGAACUGACUUUGUGAUAAGGAACUUGAUGAGAGAGUGCUACGUACUAUGACAUGUUCAGUUAUACCGAAAGUAGAUAACGCCAUUGAAC